CGCUUCUCGCGCGACUGGCGACUUUGGAUGGAGCACCAUCAGGGAGCGCGGGAGUAUCUGCCGUGCGCCUGGGCAUCAGCU
rnacentral:ncRNA from 2 species